rnacentral:lncRNA from 1 species
GGCCCCAAAGCAUCUUGCUUCCAGCUCUUUGGGAAGCUAAGAACCAACUCUCUUUGCACAGUGCUCUUACAGCCUACCGGGAACAUCUCUUCCAAAGGCCUGUGAAACGCACUUUCUUGGCAGGCCUGAUCUGGCUGAAGUAGAACUUCUGCUCUGGGUGUGCUACAUUGCCCUAGAGAUUCAAGGCACAAAGCCCUGCCUUGUUUCCAAAGGGGAAGAUAAGCCCCAAAGCAUCUUGCUUCCAGCUCUUUGCGAAGCUAAGAAUCAACUCGCUGUGCACAGUGCUCUGACAGCCUACCGGGAACAUCUCUUCCAAAGGCCUGUGAAACGCACUUUCUUGGCAGGCCUGAUCUGGCUGAAGUAGAACUUCUGCUCUGGGUGUGCUACAUUGCCCUAGAGCUUCAAGGCACAAAGUGCUGCCUUCUUUCCAAGGGCAGAGAAGGCCCCAAAGCAUCUUGCUUCCAGCUCUUUGGGAAGCUAAGAAACAACUCGCUCUGCA